CCAUGAUAUGCCAGUUUUGACUCCUAACGCUCCCGUAAGAGAUUUUCAGUGGGGUUGCCUUUGUGUGUUUCAUGUCUUUGGUGACUCUUGCAGCUUAGGUGGGUCUGCAAGAGCAGGACACCAGAGGUGCAGGACACCGAGGAGCAGGAAAUCAGAGGAGCAGGACACCAGAGGUGCAGGACACCGAGGAGCAGGAAAUCAGAGGAGCAGGACAGCAGAGGAGCGGGACAGCAGAGGAGCGGGACACCCGAGGAGCGGGACAGCAGAGGCGCAUAUCAAGCCCUCUUGAGGUUUGUCAUCAGAGGCUCGUGGUCAAAGGAUUCCGCUUGGCUUCAAUCCGAUCUUCAUCCCUUUUAGGAUGGGAGCAGGACUGCAGAUGUGUCUUGUUCAAGAGAUGAGCCUUUUGGGGGCACCUGGCUGGCUUAGUUGGAAGAACGUGCGACUCUUGGUCUUGGCGUCGUCAGUUCGAGCCCCGUGUUGGGUGUAGAGAUUACCUAGAUACAGAAACUUAAAAAAAAAGAGAGAGAGAGAGAGCAUGAGAGUGCACACGAGCAGGGGGAGGGGCAGAGGGAGAGGGAGAAGCAGGCUCUUCGCUGAAACUUCUACCAUGCCAAGGAAUGGGAGUGAACAUGGGCCUUCUUACCAGACUGCCCAGAUGGGGGGCCAAGGGGAGGAGGGGGGCUUGAAAACCAUCAAUGGUCAAAACAACAAGCAUGGAGUCUUUGUCCCUGUUACACAUCGGAUAGCUCCUGUAGACGUUCUGUUGCAGGAAGGUGUCGGGAGGCAUGGUGGCGGGGGAGGGGGGAGGCACUGAUUCGUGGCAAUUCCAAAACCUAGGCUGACGAAAUCCAGCCCUCCAGAGACGCUGAGCCAGAGGGCACUGCUAAGCGGUGGCCGGUGGCCGGCCGGAUUCCCGCCCCAGAGAAACUUUGAUCAUAAGUCAUGGUAAUUUCAAGGCACUGAAUUUGGGGGGAUUUGUUAUGCAGCAGGAGACAGAUUUGGAUACCCGGAAGUGGAGUGCUGUCAUAGCAAACAGCUGCAAGCAAGAGGCUGGCCUUGGAAGUGGCCAGUAGGUGGAGGUUGGAAAGGUUUUUGGAUCAUGUCACAGAAAGUCUAAAUUGCCUUGAACAGGCUGUUAGUCGAAAUCUGGACUUGAGAACAGUGUCAGUGAAGGCUGGAAAAGGAAGUAAGAAACGUGUUAUCGGUUGGUUAAAUUCAUUCCUAAGUGUUUUAUUGCUUUGGAUGCUAUUGUAAAUGCAAUUGUUUUCUUAAUUUCCUUUUUGGAUUGUUCGCUGUUCUAGUUCUGUUAUUGUUAUUUGCUCUAGUAGCGGGUGUGUGUUAUUCAGGAUUCUUAGGUAGAGAGUAAUAAUACCUGUGUAACUUCGUACUUUCUUUUUUUUUAAGAUUUUAUUUAUUUGAGAGCGAGAGAGGGAGAGAGAGCACAGAGGGAGCGGGAGAAGCAGCCUCCCUGCUGAGCAGAGAGCCUGAUGCAGGGCUUGAUCCCAAGACCCCCAGAUCAUGACCCGAACAGAAAGCAGAUGCUUGACCGACUGAGCCACCCAGGCGCCCCUAAUUCUUACUUCUUACUUUCUUAUUUGAAUGCCUUUUAUUUAUGUUUUUCUUGCCUAAAUACUCCAGCUAGACUUUCAAGAAAAUAUUGAACAGCCGUGGUGAAAGCAGUCAUCCUUGUCUUGUUCCUGAUUUUAGGGGGAAAGUUCUCCGUCUUUCACCUGAGUAUGAAGUUAGCUGUGGGUUUUUCGUAAAUGCUUCUUAUCAUGUUCAGAAAGUUCCUUUCAAUUCCUAGUUUGCCAAGCGG
rnacentral:lncRNA from 1 species